UACGUAGGGUGCAAGCGUUGUCCGGAAUUAUUGGGCGUAAAGAGCUCGUAGGCGGUCUGUCGCGUCUGCUGUGAAAACUCAGGGCUUAACCCUGAGCUUGCAGUGGGUACGGGCAGACUAGAGUGUGGUAGGGGAGACUGGAAUUCCUGGUGUAGAGGUGAAAUUCGUAGAUAUCGGGAGGAACACCAGUGGCGAAGGCGGCGAUCUGGGAAGAUACUGACGCUGAGGUGCGAAAGCGUGGGGAGCAAACAGG
rnacentral:rRNA from 1 species